GUCUCUCUUUGCCUUUGAUACUGACUGGCAAUGGCUUCCUGGUUUCUAUUUGUCACGCUUGUGUUCCUUUUGUUACAAGAAUCCAUUGGUCAAAUUUCAAUGACUCAGUCUCCUUCAAGUCUUUCAACUCAACUAGGAAAAACGGUCAGAAUGCAUUGUAAAGUUGGCAGCUCCAUUACUGGCAGCUACAAUUAUCUGUCCUGGUACCAGCAGAGAAGUGGAGAAGCUCCUAAGCUCCUGAUGUAUCACUCAAACACUCUGCAGUCUGGGAUCUCAAAUCGAUUCAGUGGCAGCGGUUCUGGACUUGACUACACACUGACCAUCAGUGACGUGCAGCCUGAAGACGUAGGACAUUACUACUGUAAGCAGGACUGGAGUACUCCUUUCACACAGUGAUAAAGAGCCAUACAAAAACCGCAUCACC